GAAGCUAGCUAGUUAGAGAGGCUAAAAUGACUGUUAUUAUGAUAAUGUUUUUAACGUUAUCCCUCCAUCUGUAGAGGUGUUAUUUUCUCAGAAUUGUAAUAAUAUUUAAUCAAUAAAAGUUAUUCAUUCCUCUUAAAAAAAGAAGAAGGCAGCUAUAUGUAUGUCGACAAAAAAUUUAGACAAAUUGUGAGUUUUUUCGACAAGUUGUGGACCAGUGUGUUCAAACUUCCAAGUGCCUACAUUUUGUCUAUACUGGUUGCAUGUCGGGAGAACUAUGUGGAAUAUAUAUGUGGUCCAACUAUGUAUAAUUCCACAGGUGCAUGCAAUGCAGGACCUCCAGGCAGCUAGCUAUGUGGCAUUGGCUUUGUAGAACAUAAAUAUAUAUAUAUAUAUAGGCCUUCUCGGCUGCUGACAUCCGUACCAAAGUUUUUGGUGAGGAUUUCCAUUUUUGCACCACUUCCUGAUCAAAUUUCCUCAAACUUCCUUUUAGACAUAUCUAGAUCAUCUUGUGUAUAUCAUCUCUGCAAAAUUUCAACCAAUUUGGUGAUCGUUAAGGCCUUCAAACUUGCGUUUUUCUGUUAUAUACCUGAACNNNNNNNNNNNNNNNNNNNNCGGUGCAGACGUCCGCAGCUGAGAAAAUACUAUAUAUAUAUAUAUAAAUAUGUGGAUUUAUAGUGUUAAGAUCGACUUGGAGAUCAAGGAGUCAGCCAAUACAUGCCUAAAUUAUAGAGCAAGCUAAGCAUCUGAAUUUUGAAAAGUCUGGUCAUCAGGAUUAUUAUACAUUCUGGAAGAUCAAUUGAACUAAUAGCUCUAGCUGAUAUAUCACUGUGUGCUUACUGGAGGUCUCAACGUUCCUUACAAUAAGCUCUCUCUGUGGAAAGCCUCCAUCUAUAUCACGACCGCCACCUAGCUCGAUUUGAUCGAUCAUAUAUUGGACUCUUCAAACGUUCAAAGUUUCCAACAAUAUCCAUCAAAAAAAAGUUUCCAACAAUAUAUUCCAUUAAUUGAACCAAACAAAAUGGGUCGAUCAUCUGCAUGCAUGAAAUGAGAGUCAAUCUCGCUCUCACUGGAUUGCAGUGGUUUGAGGCAACUGCUUAAUCCUAAAUCCUAAAUCUGUCUUAACUUACGUUUGCUUGUAUGGUUAAGUACUAUACAUACGUACAAAUUAGUUCUUUUCCAUCGUAUACGACCUAUGUUUUACACAAAAUUAUCCUCGUUAAUCAAAGUUAAUUAGAAGUCGAAGCACUAUCAUAACCUAGCUCAGUCCUCGAUCGGGUCAAGCUCAGCUUUGAAAUUGCAUAAGCAAUUUCAUUCUUUGUUUGAAUCCGAAUUGUCAACUAACAGUACUACUCCACCUGUAUGUCUAUCUGACUAGUAGUAUUGUUUUUGAUCGAUCAAACAGAAUAAGCAUCAAACAGAGAUUGAGCUCGAUCCCUUUUCGUUCAUUUUUUCCUUUGAAAAUUCUAUAUCUGGCUAUUUCAUGGCUUACGUGAUGGAGAACUUUGUCAAUUGAUUUCUUGUUUUAAAUGCUAAAACAGAAUAUGUAUAUAUGCUUGUACGAAAUAUUGAAAAAUCAAACCAAAAUGGCCGAAAGAUAAUUACUGUGUACUUACUUCGUUUGAACAUGCAUACAUGCAUGGAAACCGAUGACCCAAAUCUUUACCAGAGACGUACACCUUGAAAUUAAUCAAACCCAGUGACUGAUCUCUAUAUACAUACACACGAGCUAGAACGAAAUCAUGCAUAUAUGCAUAAUACUUUGACUCAUCUAAAAUAUGAAGUGGUAGUUAUUACGACUUUGAUUAGAAGUGUUUUCACAUUCAGUCUCUGGAUUUCAGUCUAUAAAGUGAUGACCAUGUUUUCCUUAAAGCUUCCAUUUAAAUUCUUGGAUGCUUCCUAAUUUUACAUAUUAUACAUGUAUAUAUGCAUGAGUUUUCUAAAUUGGAGUUUGGAAUAUGGAAUGCUACCUUUGCAUUUCCGGUAUACAUACAUUAGGUACUAAUUGUUUAUAUAAUAGACUAAUAGUGCGAAACAGUCUUCACUAUGUAUAUAUUUUUAUAAUUAUAUAUAUACGUACACACUCAAACUCCAAAAGUAUACUUCGUCAAAAGACUAUAUCAAAAUGGAUCUUGAAUUUCAAUUUCUUUCAUUCUUAUAUAGGCUUUCAAAUCUUUGAAACUCCAAUCUGCUCAAUGAAAGUAGAAUAAUCAAAUGGAUUAACAUAUAUAAUACGGAUAAAUAAUCGAUUUUAUUUUAUGAGAAAAUCGGCCAGCCAUGUUUUAAGUUUGGCAAGUUACGGUUCAUAAUUUGCUUAUGAUCGACUAAGUUAUUAUAUAUAUGAUCUAGCUCAAACAGUUUUAGUUUGCAUCAAGAUAUUGUUGGGUGAAAUCUACAAUUUAGAGCAAUUAAGCAGUUGCAUUGGUCUCACGACCAACCUAACUUUAUUGAUCUUUAAUUAUUCAGCCUUAUAUUAGGGUUCGAACAAUUUGCAUAAAGAUAUCCAUGUAGUCUAUAUUCAAAAGAUUCUUACAUAUAUUCUACAUUUCUAUAUUAUAUAUGAUAUAUCGUAUAAUUAAGUGUUUGAAGGGCACAACGAAAUUCAGCUAAUACCCGUAUACGCAAUGAAUGAAAGUCACAACGAAGUGAAGGAAAGGUCUCCCUUCAUUUCCACCAAGUGAUCGAGAAAUGUUCAUGAUGGACGACGAUCAUCUUCUUUAGUUUUACCCUAGCUAAUUAACCUACGUACCUUUCUUUGAUCUCAAAAUUCCACUCAGUCGACAUUUGAAGCUUCAUGCAUAAGUUCCCACGACCAACAACAACCAUUGCAUUACAUGACUCCUCGCUCUCCUAUAAAUACCUCAGCUUUCUCAUGGUUUUAGCACCAAGAAUAUCGAGCAUACCACCUUUUCUCCCAAAACCAUUUCAAACAGAGACAAAGCGACCAAAAUAUGGCUCCGGUGGUCUCAAAAGUAGGGAUUAUUGGUGCCGGAGUGAGCGGCAUAGCUGCUGCGAAACACCUAAGCCAUCACAACCCUAUUGUCCUCGAAGCCUCUGACUCCAUUGGAGGGGUCUGGAGGCAUUGCUCCUACAACUCCACAAAGCUUCAGUCGCAUCGUCGCGAUUAUGAGUUCUCUGACUUUCCCUGGUUCGAUAGGGACAAACCUGAAUAUCCUUCUCACCUUGAGAUAUUGGAUUACUUGAACUCUUACGCAGAGCACUUUGAUGUGCUCAAGUUUGUGAGGUUCAACUCCAAGGUCGUCGAGGUUCGUUUUAUUGGUGACCGGGAAACCACUGAUGCAGGUUUUAAACCACCGGCGGGGCAGCCUGCUUGGGAAGUUGCUGUGCAGACCAGUGGUGAAGACACCAUUCAGGUUGUUCAUCCAUAUUUCAUAUUCAAUUACUGAAUUGCAUGCAUGCGUAUAAACCCUACUCUUCUUUGAAUCAGUUGUAAUACUUUUUGCUCUAACCUUGCGCUUGUGUGCAAAAUAACAUAGCUCAUACAGUCAUACUACUUAAUCAAGUCUCGAAGUGUAUAGGAUUCAUUAGAAACUUUUGGCAAUGAAAUAAUUUUUUCAUUUUAUAUAGUUUUCUAACAUUACGAUAUAUAUACUGUACUUAUUGGUCGAUCACAUUACAUACAAGAUGAAACUCAUGCAUGCCUUGUAGUAUAUAUCACUAUUUUGAUUUGUUUUUCAAACUAAAUCUCGACAAGACGAGUGCUGCUAUCUCAUCGAUGAGUUACUGUUCUACUGUUAUUAUAUGUUUUCAGCGAUGCUAAUUUUGUGUGUUUAUUCUUUCGUUAUUAAGUGGUACGCCUUCGAGUUCCUUGUGGUAUGUAUUGGGAAAUAUGGUGACAUACCCAGAAUCCCUGAGUUUCCACACAACAAAGGCCCUCAAGCGUUUCAAGGUCAGGUUCUGCAUUCUCUUGAUUACUGCAAACUAGACAAGGAAGCUGCUUCUGAGUUACUCAAGGAUAAGAAGGUCGUCGUAGUUGGAUACAAGAAAUCAGCCCUUGAUUUAGCUGUGGAGUGUGCUGAGGCAAAUCAAGGUAAUAUAGCUUAGCCUUUACGUUCAUAGUUCUACAUCAUUUGAAUUAUAAGGAUACAAUAUACAAGGCAUCUGUAACUAUUAAGAAGAAAGAUUCACAACGAAAAAUCGAAGAUGAAUAUAGAAAAUAAUUAGUUAAUUACAUAAAUAAAGGUAGGUGUAUAUAUGAAGGUGUGAAGUAUUAUAGAAAUAAGUGAGCUACCUCUCAAUUUCCACGUUAUGGGAUUGGAAUUUGCAUGGUUAGAUUUUCGCACAAGUCACAGUGUGUACAGCAAAGAAAAAUCGAAAAGGUCAUUGAAACUGUCAAACAUCGAUCUGAAACAUCAAUAUAAGCUGGUCUCAACUGCUUGACUUGAACAUGUUUUAAACGAUUCUAAUUUGGGAUGGUUUCACUUAACCUGAUUGGGAUUUCCCAAUCAAUGUUUGACUUAAAACAUGAAAUAGAAUUCCACAAUCGUACUAUUCAGACUUGCUUUGGCAUUUCAAUCACAUUUUCUGUAUUUCUCAUAUUGGUUAUUAUUUUUGCAUGAAUUAAUGAAGGACCAAAAGGGCAACCAUGCACAAUGGUGGUGAGGACUCUACACUGGACAGUUCCCCAUUACUGGGUUUGGGGUUUGCCAUUUUUCUUGUUCUAUUCAACAAGGGCGUCACAGUUUCUCCAUCCAAGACCUAAUCAGAGUUUCAUCAGGACCAUCACCUGCCUUCUAGCUUUAUCUCCUUUGGUAAAUAACUACACAAAAUAACCUUGAUUCAUAUUCAUAUGUAGCUUGGAUAGAAAAUAAGUAACUAGUCUAUCUGUAUGUGUUGUGUGUUCACAGAGGCAUGCAAUUUCAAAGUUCAUAGAAUCAUACAUCCUGUGGAAGCUUCCCUUGGAGAAGUAUGGACUAAAACCAGAUCACUCUUUUGAGGAAGACUAUGCUUCAUGCCAGAUGGCUAUCACACCUGAGAACUUGUUCUCCGAGGCUGAUAAGGGAAGGAUCAUGUUCAAGAGAUCACAAGGAAAUUGGUGGUUCAAUAACGAUGGAAUUGAGUUUGAUGACGGCAGUAAGAUCGACGCUGAUGUUGUGGUCCUUGCAACUGGUUAUGAUGGUAAGAAGAAGCUCAAAGCCAUAUUGCCAGAUCCCUUCAGAAGCUUGUUGGAAUACCCUUCUGGUAUUAUGCCCUUAUACAGGUAAAACUAAUGUUGCUAUCUUGUUUUUCUGAAUCACUAAUAGUUACGUGAAAUAUUGUUUAACGUUUAAGAUUUGUUCUAAAGUAUGACCGAUAACAUAACAUAUGUCACAUUAAUAUGGAUUUUUAUUUUCUGCAGGGGUACAAUUCAUCCUUUGAUCCCAAACAUGGCGUUUGUGGGUUAUUUGGAGAGUGUUUCGAACCUGCAUUCGUCUGAGUUGCGCAGCAUAUGGCUGGCUCGACUUAUAGAUAAUAAGUUUAAGCUCCCAAGUGUGGAGAAAAUGCUGGAGCAGACAACUAAAGAGCUGGAAGUGAUGAAGGACACCACCAGGUUCUACAAGAGGUUCUGCAUCUCUACUUUUAGCAUCAACCACAGUGAUGAAAUUUGUGAGGAGAUGGGAUGGACAUCUUGGAGGAAGAAUACCUGGUUAGCAGAGGCAUUUAGCCCUUAUGGGGGUCAAGACUAUCUGCAGAAAUACUGAACCUCAAUUUAUUAGCAAACGAAUUGAUUACUAUCCUAUUGAAAUUUACAAUUGUGAUGUUCUUUACAUUAGGAAUCAAAAUAAAGAUAAUCUAUUUACAUAAGAAUUUAGGAAAGCAAUGUGCAAUAGUGUAUUAGUGAUUCAUAAUUCAUUCAUCCCAAUAAAAGAAUCUGUCAAUUGUCUAGCUACCUUUUGAAUUCCCAGAAAUGUAUGAUGUCAUAAUAUUGCAGAAGGCAGGGAAAAGAGUUAUAAUUAAACAUGGGCUGCUUGUAAUAGUCACAACGAAUUUGAUAUUCCAUCACACUCUUGACUAAAAUCUUCCACACUGAUAAUGACCCUCUCACUUGCAACCAAGACUAUACUUAAUUUUCAUUGCCAACAAACGUCAUGCUACAAUAUAUAGUUUGGUUUCAUAUAUAGGAAAGAAAACAGUUGCCUUUAUACUUUUCAAAGGUCCAAGAGAGACCAACAACACUAGAAACCAUGAUUGGCUCUCAGUCAUACAAAACUAAGGACUUCUGUAACCCUAUGUAGAGAUAUAGAAUGGACAGAGUGAUGUGGAAAAACUAAACCAGGAGGAGUUUAAAGGCUCUGAAGUAGCUUGAGUGUUUCAUCAAUAUGCUUCUCGGGUUGGAACUGGUUGUUGUAGAUGAGUUGAACCACUCCAUUCUUGUCGAGAACAUAGGUCUGCCUUCCAGGCAAUGUCCCAAACAGAUCUGAUGGCACUCCCCAUUCUUUCCUCACCUUAUUACCUUCAUCACUUAGUAAUGUGUAUGGAAGCUUGUACUUCUUUGCAAAAGCCUACAUACAGGUCAAAUUUCCAAUCAAGUCACAAACUUUCCGAGUCUUCAAGCAUGAGUAAUGAGUUGCAAGGAUUACUAGAAAAUUCACAGCAACAUUACCUUGUGUGAUGCUGAGUCAUCACCACUAAUCCCAACAACCUGUGCUCCAGCUUUUUUGAACUUCUCAUAAGAAUCUCUGAAAGCACAAGCCUAAUGGAAUAUCAAUUUGUCAGUGUCAGCAGUAAUCAAAGGUUCAAUCUUUAUAUGGGUGAUGCAAAUUCCAAUCUGACUUGCAUCUCAAGAACAAUCUGAUCAUAUAUGGAGCUUUCCCUAGAAGCUCUAACUCUGUAGUAGAAAUCACUUGGCAAAACUAAUCUUAAGAUAAGCAAAGCACUGUACCACCUAACCAAUAUAGGAAGUGAACAUUUUCAGAUGAUUAAAUUUCCACUAACCUAAACAAAUGCAAGAAUGUCAUAUAUGUUUUUUGUUUGCAACAGAAAAAAAAUAAAACCUGUUUGGUGCACCCUGGGGUCUCAUCAGCAGGGUAGAAAUAGAGAACCAAAGGCUUUCCUUUGAACUUGGAAAGGCUGACGGAUUUACCAUCCUGAUCUUUCAAGUUAAAAUUUGGGGGAACCUUGCCUUUUUCCACCUGCCAAAACCACACAAAGCCAUAAGCAAUCAAUAAACCAUCAAUUACCCAUAAGCCACACAUCAUAUGAGCACAAGUUAAAGCAAUGUACCUUGCCACAAAUGAUAUUCAUCCCAGAAGAGGAAGAUGGAAUCGGCAAAGAGGUAGAAUUGGAGAGCUUGAGGCCAUAGAAUUGGGAAUUUGAAGAUUUGGAGACUAGUUGAGAAGAUGGGUAGUAGUGUCUGGGAGUUUGAGUGGGGAGUAGCGAAGUGAAGGUGUGCUUGGGGAGAGAGAGGGAAGCCAUUAGAGUGAGAUGUAUCAGGAAUGGAGUGUGUGGUACUGUGAAGUAUGGUGAGUAGUGAUUUGAAGUGGUGUUUUUGUUGGGUGUUUACAUUUGUUGGGUGGAAGAUAAGGGAGUGUUGGAAGCACAUUAGCCUGUUGGAUAGAAUUGGCUUUGAGCGUGGACAAUUGCAGACCCCAACCUUCUAUUACUACAAUUUACACUGUAAAUCUGUAAUAAGUUUUUUUUUUUUUGUCUGAAAAUCUGUAAUAAGUUAAUCUAGAGAUUUGAAGGCUUUCAAGGCUUAAUUUAAACCGGGCGGUUUGUAAACCUGAACCGUCUCAAACCGGUUUAAGAACUUGGAUGAUUUGGACUGCCACGAGGAUCGAACCCAAGUUCUGUGUUGUGCAAAAAAAUAAGUUAAUCUUUGUGUGGUUCAUGAUGUGUUGGAUGUGAAUAACAAUCUUGUAUCGAUUUCUUGUAACUUAUUGAAUAGCAAUCUUAUAUUUCCUUCAACUGAUAAGGUUGUACAUGAACUUGAUUGUGUACGAUAUGCAGAGAAUACAAACAUGUCUACAACUCAACCUGGCAAUUUAACCCAUUACCCGCUACCCGCCCGUUAACCGUCCGUUAAUAACCCGCCUAUUUCCGCCCCAUUACAGUUUUACACCAACGGGUUGACAACCCGCUAAGAACCCGCUAACUAAUAGGCGGAAACGGGUUACCCAACGGAACCCACCCAACCCGCUAAAAAAAAAAACAAGAAGCAAAACUGAUGCAAAGGGUAAAUGGUUUACAGUAAACCUAAAGAAACAAAGCAGUUAGCAGUCUCUCUCUCUCUUCAGAUCGAAACAGUCUCCCACUCUCCCUCAAACCAGUCUCUCUCAGUCUCUUCCUCUUCAGAUCGAAACAGUCUCCCUCAAACCAGUCUCUCUCGGUCUCUCCCUCUUCAGAAACAAACCGCGCCAGUCUCUCUCCCUCUUCAGAUCAAAAUUCAGGUUGGUUUUUGUUUCCUUACUCUUCUGAAUUUAUUGUUUUUGGUCAAAAUCUGAACUGGGUCUGAGAUUGUUGUAUGAAAUUGGUCUUUGAUAAUGAUUUUGUUGAAUUAUUGACUGCUGGUGUUCUGUGGGUUCUUAAUUUUGUGCAUUUGGUGUUUGUGAGUUUGUAGUUUUGACGUGAUUUCAGUAGGCUUUCUGGGUUCUAUACAUUUGAUGUGUGUUUUUGGAACCCCUGCCUUGAUCGGAAUUCCUACCAAGGCUCAGUAUUAGUGUAUUACUGUAUAUGAAAAUGUGAAGCUAACACUAGCUGGACUACCUAGGAGAGAGGUACGAAUGGUGGAGCUAUACUCUAUUGGGAUCAUCCCGUCUUUUUAUCAGUAGGGUUAACAAAUCCUUGUUUGAAGUAGGGUACCAGUAUAUUCCAUAAAACUUGAAAAGCAUGCGCCUAUUCCUGAUAAGAAUGAUUACAUUGUGCUAAGUCUUUGAAUCAGCAUGCGCCUAUUGCACUUAUCUCGUAAAGAUAUGAAUACUAUGAGUAUACGGUUUGCAUGUGACGUGCUUACAAUUCAUAUUUCUACGGUAACAUCCGAGUCUGUAUUCAGUAUUGUUGGUAGAGUAUUGGAUCAAAAUCGAAGCUCACUAUUACCUGAAAUCGUUCAAGCAUUUUUAUGUUGUCGUGAUUGGUUAUUCAGUAAGAAAGGUAAAUUCUCUAUCACUUAAUCACUGUAUUAAUUUCAUAUAUUUUCAUCUUGUGAGUUUCAUUUAAUUUUAAAUUCACUAAAUUUUUUAAUAUAUAUUUCAGAUCAACAUCACACUGAUUGGGAGCAACUUAGUGAAAACGUGCUAGACUUGACAUUGGACGGAUAAAGCAGAUCAUAACAAAAGAGAAACAAGGUGGGAGUACUACUGGGUGUUUAGCGCAAGGUGGGAGUGUAGAAGAGAGUACCUAGUAGUAGUAGUAGUAGCUGACUUGUGUUUGUAGUAGCUGAUUAGUUGACAUAUGAUGUUUGUGUCGAGAGAAACCAAAUUUGAAUGAAUGUAUGAAACUCUGCUGCAUCUUUUUUGUAUAUGAAUAUCAGGUCUUAUAAACUCUGCUACAUCUUUUUUUUAUAUGUGAUGUCAUUUGUAUGCAGCAAAUAUAUACGAGUUGGUCGGCAUCAAUUUUACAAUUAGAUAUUAAUGUUAUAAACUUAUAAUUGCAUAGAAGAGGAGUAAUAUUGUUGAAGCUGCAUUUCUAACAGGUAAAAAUAAAAAGGAAUAUUAGAAGAGAAGAAAAAAAAUAUAGGUAUUUGAUUUGAUUAAAAAAAGAAAGAUUUAAAAAAAAAAAAAAAAAAAAAAAAAAAGGGAAAAAAAAUACGUUUUAGCGGGUCUUAGCGGGUUCCAACGGGUAACCCGCGAACCCAACGAGUUCAACCCGUUACACCCCGUUAAGCUAAUUAGGUGUAGCGGGUUGAACCCGCUAACCCGCCACAGCCCGCCCGUUAACCGCCCAACCCGCCCAUUUGACAGGUUGAUCUACAACCAAAAACUGUCAAGCUAUAGUACAUCGUAAUGUCAAUUUCAGUACAUGUGAAUAACAAUCUUGUAUCCAUUUCCUGUUGUAUGUGUGCUUUUUAGAACUUGGAUUUGUAUUUGUGAAAAAAUGAUCUAGUUAAUAGUUAUGCAACAAGAGCAUAUAUAUGUCUUUGUAUUUGUGAAAAAAUGAUCUAGUUAAUAGUUAUGCAACAAGAGCAUAAAUCUGUAAGACAUAUAUAUGCUCCUACAGUUCUGUUCUUUAUUCGCUUUCUGGAAAAUAGAUUCUGGUUUUUGCUACUGAGCUUCCCAAACUUGUUUUGGUUUGUGUUUAAGUUGAGUUGUUCAUGUAUUGUUCAGGGAUGAAUUUGUAUAUGAACUUGUGCUAUAGUCAAGUGAACUUAUAUAGUUACUGCAUGAACUGGCAAUACUACUGCUGGAUUUGGGUAGGGCUUGUAUUUUCGAAACUAGCAGCUGUUUCGAUUCAUUUGUCCUUAUAAACUAUAAUAGAUGCUAGCUGCUCACCUUUUAUUUAGGGUUUAUAUAUUGAAACCCCUGCUCACUUAUAAAAAUAAAAUUGUCACAAAAAUCAUAAAAUUGAUAAUGAAUUAUUAUGCUUGUUCAAAAAGAAACUAGCUAGUGGCUUUACCAAGACUAAACCAAACCGAAGGGAGUCUCAGCUCUCAACCCGGUUAAUAAAAACCCUCACAAAACCCCCAAGUUCUUCUGAGUUUCUGAAACAUUGAGACCCAUCAUCAGAGCUAUGGAAGGCUUUCAAAAUUGGUUCGGCAAAAUCAAAGAAGAUCUGAAAGCCGCCUCUGAAAAAGUUUCAUCCUCCUCUUCUUCUUCUUCAUCUGCUUCCUUCAAAGCUCCUGGUUCUGAAGAAGGUCUCUCUGCCGUGUUGUCUGAUCAGUCUCGUAUCAUAGUCGCCAAACCUGUCAGGUAACAUACCCUCUAGCUCUAUCCUUCUCAAAGUUUAGAAAUUUCUGAUGAGUGAAUUGGGUUACUCAGUUGUGAAUCUUGUCUUUGACAAAAACUUGGAUUUGUGAGAAAUUUCAUCAAUUUGUGCUAUAGGACCAUAAUGGGUUAUUGUAAGUAACAAAUAUGCUACCAAAGUUUGGUUCUUUAGUCGCUUUUUGGCUAAUUCAUUCUGGGUUUUGAUAUUCAUGUUGUGUUUUAGUAGAGUUGUUCAUGUAUUGGUCAGGCAUGGUUAUGUAGAAGUUAAGUAAACUUCACUGGUUGGACUGAACUUGCAAUGUUGCUGCUGGAACUGAAUGUCUAUGAUUAAACUGAAUUGGUAAAAGUUUUGAUGUUUACUUGCAGAGGAGUGGUUUCACUGUGGACAUGCUCAAAGUUCUGUGCAAUUGCUUUUGUUGCUGGGAUCAUCGUCGGCUAUACCCUGAAGCGACGCGUUAAACGCUGGGCUAACAAGCUUCUCAAAAAGAUCCGAGAUGAUUGAUUGCACCUAGGUUGAGUUAUGUUAUCCCAUUCGGUAGAUUGUCGUCAAUAUACGAGUGAUUCUCUGACAUUAGUUGUGUAAAGAGUGCAUUUUUAGGAGUUUUCAGCUUCUGUUGUGACAAAUGCAUCUCACCUUUUCAAAAGAUAUUGUUAUCCUUUAUGAACUAUUAUGGUAAAGCUCUACUUGUGAGGCUGAAUCUCUUGUUUUCGACUAAAUUUUUAUUCCUGUGGUUAUGAAUUCAUGCAUCUGUUGUUAUAUGUGAUUUAAGUCCCGAAUAAAACUAUAAGAUGAAUUCUGCCUGUUUUGUUUGUGAUUUAUAUGAGAUGAAGAUGUGUGAAACCACUCCUGCAACAAACCUGAAAAAUACAUAUUGAUGAUUAUGUGAUUUGAAUACUGUCUCUGUCAAUCGAUAUAAUACUUCAUCUGUGAACUUUGGAAAUAAAUAGUACGAGAACAUCAAUUUUCAUCUUUUUCUCUUGUUUGAUUGAUAUUAUCUAUGACAUUGGACUAUAUUUCUUUAUAUAUAGGGUAAACAAUUGCAUUUACAUCUUUCUGAGCUACUAUUAUUAUACAUAUAUGAUUGCUCAUCUAUGGAUAAUCAGAAUGAUUACAUAAGAAUAGCUGCACCAUCUUUGUGUAAGUUCCUAGUUUUAAAAGUACUCCUUGUGGAAUUCAAAGCGUGUCGAUGUCUUCUGGCUGAGCUCAAGUGAUAGCAUCUUCAGCUCUUUUGCUAACAUUGGCAUCCCACAGUAGAAUACCCCUGCAAAAUUAAGUAUAUUCUUAGAUCCAGUUAAUUUUGAAGUGUCAGUUUGACGUGUAUUCUUCUGGUAGAGUUUCUUUACCUACUGUCGAAAAUGGAUGCUUGGAAGCUAUCUUGGUAAACACUUCUUUCCAGUUAGGUCUUGCGAAGUGAGUCAUUACCUGCAAAUCAUCAUUGUUGAAAGUUCAGUUAUUCCCUAGGUACAAAAUUGCCCGUUUACUGUUUGUUGAGGGAUGUGGUAAUGAAAGAUCAUACACUAGUGCCAGAUAGGAUGUCAGUCCCAUGUUUGGCAUGGUUGAGAGCUUGGACCAUGGUGAUUAGAGUCGAUCUUGCAUCACCCUCUUCAUAGACACUCGUAAGGUAGUUGUGAAGUUCAAUCUGACCCUGUUAAGAGAAAAGGAUAAGAGAGUCAGGAAGCUCAUCCCCAAAGUUAUGUAACUAUGUUCUGAAAAGAUUAGAAAUGCAUUGCUUUACUUUGUGAUCCAUUUCUGCCACUUCAUCCAUGACUCCUUUAAACCACUCGAAAGAGCCAGGUUCUCUGGUAACCCAAUAGAAAUGAGCAUUUGUAGUCCUCUGUGAUUUCUUCUUGUCAUUUGGUGUCAAACAGGAUGAUGUAAAACUACUUAGGCUGUCUGAUGUACUAGUUUCUGUGUUUGAAUCCUAUGACAAGUGCAUUAACUUUGUUACAGAAAAGAGAAUACUAGAUACUGAGAAACAAUCUAAGAUAAUAUGGAUUGUACCGUUUGUUCUUCUGCUGUUCUUGUACUGUUAAGAAGAUCUUUAAGGAUGCUUACAAAAGGAGUAGCUCCAAUGCCAAGACCCACAAGGAGUAGGACAUCAUAGUUGCGGUAGUCCUGUGCCGGUGCCCCAUAUGGACCAUCAAGAAACAAUUUGGGUUGGUUGAAUAGUCUCCUUUGAUCCAUAGCAGUAACACUAGCUUGAUGAACUAUAGAUAUUGAAUGAUCUCCCUCAGAAAUGGCUCGCUUCAGUUCUUUCGUCCAGUCUCCAACUGUCCGGAUAUGAACACUGAGAUGGUCAUCCCCAGGUGCUGAUGUGAUGGAAAAUGGGUGCCUGAAAAAUCGCAUUCAUGAAAUUAAGAAAGGGUGAGAAUGGAAGGGGAAGUUCGUGUCAUGUGGAAUCACGCUUACCAUUCAAAUGGGGAGAUUGAUGGGCAUUGUAGAAAUAUGUAUUGCCCACUUCUGUACUUAAAUCCAGGUGGCUUGGACAUGAUUAAGCUGAUAACAUUUCCGGGUAGGUUUGAAGCCUGUUAAAGGAUCAGAAACCACCUUAUUAUCUACAAACUCUCAAAUUCCUGAAACUCAGAGGUGUAGAAUUUAGUGAAGUUCAGACACCUUUAGUAUCUUAACUGCAUAGUGUUUUGAUCUACAUGUUCGGAUACUGCGCUCUACUACAUACAGCAGAAAUGGAACAGAGAUGUACAUCCAUGUCUGGGGCAUUCAGGAAGAAAAUGUCAUAAGAGAUGAUUACUGGUAGCAGUUCAUAAAUGAGCCUCAAUUUUUAGUCACUCAAAGUUCUUACCGUUUUCUGAUACCACUUGUGGACAAAGUACAAACAGCUUCCAUGGAUGAGUAGCAAAACGUAGACCAGACCUAGCAGAUGAUGAGAAUACCAGAAGGCAUUAAACCCAGUCAGUUUGUUGAAGGGGGCAGGAAGCCUCACCAUGUUCUUCCGAAAGUGACUCGCUGCUAGUGUGAAUGAGAUAGCCAUAAAAAUCACCAUCAGAAUUCCAGUCAAUCCCUCUGGUCCAGUGAAUAGGAAUUCAUACGUUGGCUUUUUGCCGUGGAAAUCAGCGGAUAUUGGCGCAAAUUCUUCCGGAGAUGACUUUACUAGACGAGGAAAGUCACAUGCCACAUGGUUCCCAGCAUGAACAAUUAUUCCAAUUGCUAUAGCAAAUGCAAUCAUCUGUUGGAAAAUAUCAAACAGUUGUUCAACAAAAGAUAGAAGUCACAGAACCAGUGGAAAAUGUGUGAUUGACUACUGACUAGCCCUUUACCUUGUGGAAGUUAGUACUGUCAUCAAAGGGAAUGAAGGACCUAGCUCGUGUUGAUCGAAGCCAUGUUAGCGUGUUACGACAAACAGGUAAAAGAAUGAGGGCCAUGUUAAGCUUCAAAGUUUCUGCCGCACCUUUGGCUACUGGCAAGCAAUAGCGGAUGACUUCAAAUGCUGCUUUGUUUCUGUACUGGUAGAAUUUCCAAGCAAAAAGUGAAGCCAUUGCAACAAUCCACAGUAAUAAAAUCCAACCGCGCUGCCAAUUGUCUAGUAUGAGACAGUUAAGUGAACGAUUGAGUCUCCGAAGCAGAUUCUUGGGUCGGAAGGAACUCAGGUUCUGACUCCAAGCUACACUUACUGCACUCAAUGGUCUGCUAUAGUCUAUGUAAACAUCCCUCUGUAAAAGCAGUGCUUCCAAUUGCCAAAGCUGAAUAAAGGGUGAGUGAACAUGAGAGGCAACGUUUGAAUCAUUGACAUGAACAUCAAUACUCGAAGGUUCUCAUUUUUACCUCAAUAUAACCAAAGUUUUCCGGGUCUAGUUCUUCCAUUAUCAAUGAAGCAUAUUCUUCUGCUUGUUCUUUCAGCUUUGAUAGCUUGUUUGCAGAAGCACUCAGCAUUAUAAGCUAUAAUUCAAAGAGACAUUCAUUGUAAGUUCAUACCAAGUAAAGCAUUACAUGACUGCUAGCACAAUAGUUACCAAGUUACUAUGGAAUUCUAGAUUAGGAGAUUAACUAAUUACUGAACAAUUUCUUUACCUCUUGCACUCCCUCCCUUGUGAUUCUUCCAUCCUCAUUGCUAUCUGCCCUGAAAACAAUUCAAACCGAAAAUUUUACAAAAAUGAAAAAAGGAAAAACUUUUUACCAACUAAACAACUAGAUAAGAGUCAUAAGACAAGUGAAUUUCAUGGGUAAGAAAGUCAUGAACUUUAUGGUGGGUUAGAAAAGCAUGAACUACUUUGCAAAAUUCACACCCACACAGAUAAGGCAAAGAUUGCACAUAGUUCAAAACCAUUUUAGCCUAAAAUUUUCAGAGAUCUUGAAUCUUGAUGGGGGUUCAUCUAUUCAAAGUAGAUAGAACACACAAAAGACACCACCAAACGCAAACAAGACUCUCCAAAAAGAGAAUCUACCCAAAAACUAAAAACAAAUUAGUGCACUAAUCUGGCGGGUAAUUUGACCAUAAUCUGGGGCCGUCGAUUUGUUAGAAAUUGGACCUUAACUCUCAAAAGUAGACCUGAUCAAAGGCUGAGAACACGUACAUGUCGAAGAAAAUUUGAAGGCGCGCAUCAAAGCUCUGGUCCGAAAUUUGUGACCAAAAAUCACGAAGUUCUUCCUUGCUGAUCUUCGUAAUGUUCUGCCGCCGUCUCCUGGCCAAUGUGUCAAAUAUCCCCACCGCAAACUCCUCCGAGUCCGCCAUCCCUUCACACACAGCCAACGCAUCAUUUUCAAGUUUCAAUAAAAGAAGUUACACGUUACAUUAAUGUAUCGAUACAUUGCUUAUAUUAUCGCAACAAACUAUAACUUGGUAGAAGUUUAGAUUCUCACCUAUGCAUCGACCAAAGUCUGCUCUGGCGAGCAAUCCGUCGACGGCCAGCGACUCGAACCUGGCCUCGACUUGCUUCCACAGCUCCUCGGCGUCGCUAGGUCCGGUGGUCUUACUAAUGAACCUCAGGCCAUUGAGAGCUCUUUGUGCGCCCGAUCUCGUCCGUUGAAGCUUCGCCUUCAACCUCCUCGCCUCGCGUGGCGGGAGCGGGAGCUCGCUGGAGUUGGACGACGCUGCGGUCCUCGAAGACGUCGAUCUGAUCAACCACCCGAAUGUACGACGAAGGCUCCGUGACGUGGCGGAGAGGCUCCUUCCAAGCAUUCCUGGCCCCGUCUCCUCCUCCUCCGACGUGCCGCUUGCCACCGGCGCGACGCUGCACACGACAAUGUCAUCGUCGUUGUUGUUGAGCUCUAGUGUGACCUCAACCAGGUCUUGGUUGUUGUGAUUAAGGUCGUUGAGAAAUAUAGGCAGCAUUGCACCGCCAACUAGGUCUUGGCGGUGGUGCUGUCGAUCAUGAUCAGAUAAGCUAAAGUUUGAUCUCGCCGAACCAAACGAGGACCUCGCCGGCGACGUCGUCAUUAUAUAAAGAAAUUUCAGGCCAACUUAGACUGAACUUAUGUGGCGGAGUGAGUUGAAACGAUGAAGCGGUGGAAGGGUUAAUUGGGUCACACGUUUGGAGUCGGAUUGAAAUGGUGUUCUAAGAAAACAAGACAAACACCUCUCAACUGAUCACUCCUACACGAUUUCAACGCUUUUGUGGUUUCCUCUAGAGCUGUAUGUGGUAGUUGAGAUUUUGCUCAUGAAGCCAAAUGUCCCCGAGACAAUUAUUCCACUUGGAGAAGAUUAUAUACCAGGAAUCUUAGCUCUCAAAGACAAAAUAAUACUGCAUGUUAAAUUUUUGUUGUAGUUUUGUCUUUUGAGAGAAAGUGUGUGAAUCUAAGAAAAAUAAAAGGAAGAAAAGAUUUACAUUUCUUGCAAUGCACUUUUUCUUUUUUGUUGAAACAAAUAUUGCAAUGCAUCAUUAUGUAUACGGCUAAUUUUUGCUAUUGCGUACACUUUCAUCACAGUCAUUUUGUUAUUUUUCCUCAAGAUCGUAUCCUAAAUUUUAUUAUAACAGUGAUUAAUUCAGACGUACUUUCUGCUCGAUUGGAUUAAAGAGAGAUCAGAAAAGGGAGAUACAUAGGGAGAUGCAUGGAGGAGCUACAAUAUAUGGGUAUGAUAUAUAGUGAUACAAUUCGGAAAGAAAUUAUAUAUAGAUGCAUGUAAAGAGUGGCAUUACAUCGAUGUAUCCAGUAUACUAGUUAUAUCCAACUAUUAGCAUCAUGAACGCUCUGCGUGGCCAUUUAACCAAGGUCAGGAGGAACAGUGUCUUUAUUUUAGAUGAAUAGUGAUGCAUGGAAUUAACUAAUUAAGCAGAUCAUUAUAAGAAGGGAAACAGCGAGGAAUUGUAGUUUAGGGUUUAGGAUCCAAUAGUAUAUAGGUUGUUGAUCCGUCAGCCUCACAACUCGAUUGACAUAAUCCACCAAAACAUGCUUGCCUCUUUUUUUCCUUUUCUUUUUCUUGUAAAUGUAACUUCAAUUCAUAACUGAUCGACAAGUAUAUAUUCGCUAGCUAGUUUAGUUGAUUUAUCAUACAUCUAAAGUUUAAUUAACGCAUAGACCUUCAAAGUGGUCUCUUUUAUUUAAUUCGUGCAUUAUUAUUUUGAAUCAAUAUAACUUUCUUAAUAUGACUUAUUCUCUCUCAAGUCUCAUGUUUAGUUAUUUAACUUUAUUAAUUAUUGGUAGGUUUGCAACGUCGAUCUCAUCACUUGGUGCUGGAUACUAUUAUAAGCAUAUAUAUGGAAUUAGCUAGGCUCAAUUAGCUAGUUCGCCUUUUAAUCAAGUUAAUUAUGUAUGGAGCUAUGAUUAAAAACACGGAUCAAUGAAGCCGGUGUGGUAUAUAUAUUAUGUUUCAAAACUCAACUGGCAAUUACAAGAACUAGUUCGAAAUUAAUUUUGAGUUGGAAUAGAGCCAUUUUUGUCGUGUAAUGAUCAAGAAGCAGAACUAGUUUCAUAUUAAUAGGAUUAAUCCAAAACAUCCAUUUAAUUUCUCGCAUAAUAUCCAAUAGCAAUGAUAGAUGAUUAUUAGUUAAUCCUGCAUUGACUUUGUUCAGUUGUUGUGUCCUUUUUUUCCAUUACCAAAAUCCAGGGAGGUUCCGAGUUACCUACUUCCAUAUAAACGACUAUUUCAACUUCGAGUAUUAUAUGUAGAUUCUGUGUGUGUGUAAAUCUAUAUUAAAGGAAAACAGGGUAGGUGGAUCAAACUUAAUAAUCAGACACUUCGUACAAAUAAUUGUUUCGGAACUCAAGUUUACAAAGUAUUUGGUUCAUGAAAAACUAAUUAAACUUAUGAUUUUGUUAUUAAUUAUAAGUGAUGAAAGAAUGAUCUUAAAUACAUUGAUCUAGCUAGCUCCAAUAUCAAAGGAAGUGACAAAGUAAAAACCAAUCGAUCAGUUCCAAACCCUAGCUAAGACUUAUAUAUAUACUUAACCAACUGAAACAUCAUGUAUUUUUUUUAUACUUUGUUCGAGAGGACGAUCAAAAUAUAUAUACAUUUUUCGGAACAUUUUCUUUCUAACACGUAGUUAAAUAGCAAAAAGUUGUUCAUUUCCUCGUUUUAUUUUGCAAUAGUUAUGCUAAAGAAAAAUCAGUUGGAAACUACUUGAUCGUUAAUUUCAUUGUCAAUAUGUACUACAUCAGUCUCAGUACAUAGCAAAGACACAUAGUACAUAUAUAGUUUUUUUUUUUUUUUUUUUUUUUUUGAGAGUACACAUAGUACAUACUCAAUGUUUAUAAACAAAAAGGUAAAUUAAGAGUUUAACUGUUUAAGACAUCCGCGAACAAAGAUUUUCAUGAACCUCAUUCUCUAAACACAUAUAUUUAUGAGAAGUUCAUACGGGAAGGUGGAAACUAUGUGCCGUACGUUGAAGACGAUAGCGGAAAACAAUUAGGUAGGAAGGGAAAGCUAGCUCUAUAUCACUUGUAUAAGGUUAUAUAUAUUAAGUUAUAUAUAAGGUUCGUGUCUCCCACUCCUACCUAGACUUCACGUACAUGAAGAGUUGAAGACACAGACUGGUGAUCGACUUGGUGCCUUGGUGGUGGUCUAGCUCUCCUUAUAACUUCCAGUUUCUUAUAUAACUACUUAAAUAAUAAGCCAAAAAUCUUCUGAAAGUGAUUAUGUAUUUGUUUGUUCUUCGUUUAUGAAUUUUGCAUCCAAUUUGUACAGACUUUUGCUAUAUGCUCUUUAAUAAAAAGAAAUCUCAAAGAUUUAGCAAGGACGAACAUUACGAUCCAUUGGUUUUCUCAUAGAUAUGAAACAUACACAUUACCAGAUGAGGCUGCCUAGCUUAGCUAUAUAUAGCACAGGGUGUUGUUAUCCUUUGGCUUUAGCUGGUGGUGUGUAACUUGGUCAUCGACAUCGACUACCUAACUAGCCUGUGUCAUCGAUCUUUCUUCUGGGAAAUAAAAUACGAAUCGAAUGUUUGAUUAUUACACAUGAGACUUGGAGGAUUAAUAUAAUGUGGAAUAUCGAUUGAGUUGGUCGACUGGCGUAUAUAAUAAGGUCUUUAUGUAUUUGCUUACAGAGUUGCAGGGUAAUAGAGUUGAAAUUAGUGCGUGAUUAUUGAUCUGGAUUCUGGAGGGUACGUAGUUAUAGCUAUAACCUCAAACUUCGAUGAAACAAUUAACAAUUUAACAUGUAUGGCUUUCAGCUAGGGCGUGAUGAUAUUUCACAGAAUGAAUUACGUACUAACAUUCCUACUUAACAUCAAGGUUGGGAAAACCCAAGGUUGUCGACUUUGCUAAUUACUUAAUUUCACCAUAAUCAUGAUUAGUCAGUUAGUUAAUCAGUCAUAGAAGCUAGCUGCAUGUACCUGAUCAGAUGAUGAUCGAUGUUAACUUGCUUACGUUGAGCUAUAGUACUUGCCGUUAAAAUUAAUGAAGUAGUUAAGAGUUAAUUACUUGCUGCUUAAUUAAUUAACAAGUAUAGUGGUGUCUUCUCUGAAAGGCAUAGCUCACGGGUUCUUUCUUUUUUCUCAGAAGAAACAGAGACCAUCUCAUUCAUAGGCACCACAAAGAUUAUUACACUAUAUAUGAAUCCAAAAUCAGCUUAUAGAAAUAAACUGAUCGAUCACCCAACUCAUUGACUUUCGUUGCAUAUUAAACUUUCAAAUGCAGCUUGCUAGUUUCUUGUCACUCCUAAUUGCAAUUGGGUGAGUAAGUACUUCGUACUUCAAAUGGUAAUGAGAGAGCUGCAUGUACUGCUUCAAAUUCUGUAGGAAACAAAGUACCUUUUUAACCCAGUUUUAGGUUUUCUGCAAUUGUACUCCCACCUUCGUACUGGAAAUUAAUCGAUAAUUUACCAAACAGCGAAAGGUAGUGAAAGCAUAAGCAGGCUAGGGUUUGGUUAAUUUGGUGAAACCUAGCAAUCAACCAGAAGGGAAAUUAAGUCGACAGAUCAAUCGAAACUGUCUUAAUCCAGAUAUACGUAGUUUGUCAUCAUUUUGAUGAUGAUACUAUUGUAAUGCAUGGCCAGUUUGAUUAAAGACAGUGACACAGAAUCUAUAGCUGUGGCUUAAUUAGCAGCAUUACUGAGUCCGGCCAUUAUCAUUUCAGUUCACUUGUUAAAAUCCUUUGAGUUGAAGCAAUUAACUGAGAGCCAUUGAGCCUCCAUUGUUCGGUCGCUUUGAUCUUGUUGGUUUUCAGGUUUCAAUCUGAAAAUUGCCAGAUAGCUAGGUCAUCCUAGAUUCUAUAAUACUGGCUCUGUUCCAAGAGAUAACUAUAUAUAUUGCGUAGGAGGUCCUCAGUUUCAUCACAAGGCCGAACGAAAAGCCCACUAAGUUUUGGCGGGAAGAAGUGCUGCGGAUGAUGGUUAUAAGUUUCUCAAAUGAGAUUGUUAAGAAGAUGUCACCAUUACAAAAAAAUAGAAAAUAAAAAGGUGAUUCCAAAGAUGAAAAUCUUAAUGCAUAUGCAAGAGGUUGAGAUCUAUUUGAAAAUUAUCUCAUCCAUUUUUAGAUGCAGAAUAAGGAGACUCCAGGAUAAGUUGAUGAUUGUUUUAAAGUUCAUCAAUAUUUAGAAACCCAAACAACAAAAGAACCUAAUUAUUAAUGAAAAUUCUUAUACGCACGACGUGUAUUUACACGAUGCAAUCUUAAUCGUUCAUAACAAUUCAUAUGUUUGACUACCAUAUUUAUAUAUUAUUUUCUCUAAUUAUGACAGUUCAUAUAUGUAUGUGAAAAUACAUGCUGUGUACUGAAGAUGUUCUCAAUUAUUAAACAAAAACCAAAAUAAAAGAAGCCCAAACCUAAGCCCAAAGAGAACUCGGGCCUUAGGCCCAUGAUCAAAGCCCAAACCCAAUUUGGAUCAGAAGAGCCUCAUCAUGUUCUCCCAAUCCAAGCCGUCGUUGCAUCGCUGCACUUUCACUAAUCACUAUGGCCACUACUGCAACCGCCGGCAUCGACCUUGACCAUGCUACUAUCGGCCAAUCCCACCGGCCACGAUCCACCGGAUCGAGUAGUAGUGUAAAGUUUACCCAUGAGUUGAAAUGUGCGGUGGUAAUCACAUGCACAAAAGGCUUUGAUGUGAUGAAGAAAAUAAAAAGGUAUUGGAAGUAAUGUUUUUAUAUUUGUCAAACCAUUCUUAAUAUCAAUCCUAUCAACCAACAACCCAAACCUUUACCAUCCAGACAUUAUAUCUUUAUCUUUAUAAGACUUUGUAGUAAUGUUGUGAGUAUCAAGUUGCUUAAAGUAGUUAUAAAACGAUAAUGCUUCAAGGUACGUUGUUGUAUUCGAUACUUUAAUCUGCAAAUUGUAACUUAAAAUGCUUGUUUUUUAGUAGUUUACAAAAGAUGCAAAUGGGUAGGCAUAUAGUAUUGCUACCCACUUCUAAUACGCAACAUUUGUUAAAGCUUCUUAGUAGAGUAUUUCCCUAACAUUAUCAAUCACUUGUAAAACACUCUUGCUUUAUAAGUACUAGGAUGCACAUAAAGAAAAAAGAAUAUAUGAAUUCAUAAUGUCUCAUUUCACCAAAAACAAAUUUGCUCUUUCUUACAUAUGCACAUAUACGCUUUGAUGUCUCAUUACACCGACUUAAUAAAUAUAAGUUUCAUUUGUUUCACGUUAGAUCUCGUCAGAUACGUUUAUAAGUCAAAUAUAUUAUUAAUUUAAAGACGCAAAAAAGUAAACGGAAAAUGAAGAGGUAAUGACUUGGCAAAGGACUUGGGCUGUGGAGAUUCCUGUAAAAGCACGUGGACCCAAACCAACAAAGUAAGCCCAUGACGCGUAUAUUUACACUUUUCCAAAUUUAAAAUCCAAAAGUUUAAUUAGCUAAAAUCCCUCUCCCUAUGAAUACCCUCCUCCCCUGUAUCUUCGUCCUCACCAAAGCACAUUCAUUCUCCACAACAUAAAUAUUUUCCAUAUUAUUGUAGUUUAUUCAUAUCCUAUAAUGCAUUUUGGGGUCUCUCACAGAAUCUUCAAUCUUUGAUUUGAUUUACUUCAGGGCCGUUGGUUUUGUUUGGCUGCCAGAGAAAACCGAAAAAACAGAGUGUGCCUCCGAAACCGGAGGUGAGAGAGACUCCGAAAAUUUAUGAGAGAAUUACAAACAGUCAAACACAUCAUCCAUCUAAUCUCCAUUUUCAGCUCUGGAUCAUGUUCUUAUUUUUAUUAUUUUAGCAAAUUUUUUCCUCUGAAAGAAAAACAAAACAAAAAAAAUCUCUGUUUCUCCCUGAAAGGUGAGCUCUCUCGCUCUGAAUUUUCCUUCCGAAGCUCCAUGGCCUUCCUUCAUCGGGUUUGCUGCUGAUGUCCUCUUUCCUCCUCAAUCCUCAGGUACCCUUUUCCAUUAUGUAUCAUUUCUUCAUGUUUGUAAUAAUUUUGGUUGAGUUCUGGGACUUGUAAUCUUCUAUUUCUUUGUUGCAUGGUUCUGUUUGAUAUUCUUCUGUUGUAGAUCUUAAUGUCUGGUAAAAUAUUGGCCUUGAUUUGAUGGUAUGGUAAUCCCAAUUCAUCAAAAUUUUCAUUUGACAGGCAACUCUGGAAUUUGUUCUGAUUUAGUUAGAAGCUUAUGUUAAUCUAACUCAAAUCUUAGCCAAAGAAAAAAAAUUGAGCUGAAAUGUUGUAUUAAGGAAACAUAUGGAGAAAGAUAGCCCAUGUUGGUUUUUCAGUUCAUUUGAUUUGAUUAAGAUACUUGAAUCAAUUUGUUGGAGAUUGUACAAUAAGGAACUUGGGUGUAAAAGUUUAGAUUUGGUACAACUAUUGACAAUGAUUACAAAAUUUCUGUAGUGGAAGAAGAUCUGAUGAGACCUUGCUUGGGAUUGUUUUGAAGAUUGUGAUAAAUCUAACAAUGGAUGAGCAUCAUGGUAGCAGCAAGUUGACUGGAAUUAGGCAGAUUGUUAAGUUCAAAGAAAUCCUGCAGAAAUGGCAAUCUGUCACGUUAGGCUCGAAAGGGAAUAAUAGCCCCAGAAAAGGGGGCAGUCCCCAUUCUCGUUCGGAUCGAUUGGUAGUGAGGUGCAGCCCUCAAUCCCAUUCUGGUCGAAGGGUGACAAUGGGCAGUCCUAGUCAUAGUACCCUUUCGGCGGAAAACAGUCCCUUAUCUAGUCGAGGAACCCUUUCACCAGCAAUUAGUAGGAGGCUCACAAGUGUUAUUGCUUGUGAUUCGGAUGAGGAAUCAUGCGCAAGCCCCGAGCCGCCAUCUGAUGUCCCCGAAGGGUAUUUGGCGGUUUAUGUUGGACCAGAGCUUCGGAGGUUCAUCAUUCCCACAAGCUACCUUAGUCACAACCUUUUCAAAGUGUUGUUGGAGAAGGCUGAAGAGGAGUUUGGAUUUGAUCAUAGCGGGGGGCUCACUAUUCCUUGCGAGACGGAGACCUUCAAGUACCUCUUGAAGUGCAUGGAGAACCAUCAGAAAGCUCACCCUGAUGACACCCCAGGUAACUAGCUAGACAUCAUAACGUCAUCAUAUUGAAUUAUUGGUCUCACAUUUCACCGUGUGAAAAUGAGUUCCGAUGACAUUCCCAAUUUUUGGUGGUUUUUUGCAGCUGGAGCAUGGAAAUUGAGUGAGGAAGCAGAAGAGUAAGUAAUUAUGCUGAUAUUGGUUUUUAGUGAUCCAGAAUUUUAGGGCUGGUUUUCUGGCGUAAAGCAGGGUAUCUCCUUGUGUGCAGACAUCUUCUUGCUCUUUCCUUUUCUUUUCGGUUUUUCGUCAUUAACAAACAAUUAGGACAACCUUUUAGUUAGAGAGGAUUCAGGUGGUGUUUGUUUCUGUUGCCUGCAAUUUGGCGAUACAGAAUGGUGUUAUGUAUAAACUACAUCUGAUGUUUGAUCAAGUAUUAAACACAUUUGUCCCUCCAGCACUUAUAUAUGCCAUUUAUAUUAACCUACAGCUUCUGACCAAAAGAGAUUUCUUUGCUUAUUUCUCAAGUGCUAUUAUAAACAACCUUGAUGAGGCCAGAAUCGAGUUCACAGCAGAAUGAGAUCUUCAACAUCAUGCAUCUGAUUCUUUCUUGGUUUUUUAAACUAUGGCACAUGCUUAAGCUUGAAGUCCCAUAUAUAAUGGCCUUCAUGUACCAAUUGUUUCUGCACAUGGUUUCCAGAAACACAAUCUCUAACUUCAGAAAUAAUUUUGUUCGUUCGGUUGGUAUUAUUGAAUAUCAUAUACCAAUUGGCAGUUAUAUGUAUAUGAUCAUGUGAAAGACCAAAUUUAAAGACAGACAUUUUUGUAUCUUUUAAAUUCGAUCCAGGCCAGUACUCCCCGAGAUUAAACUGUGGGGAUUAAACGACUUGAACUCCCUCCAUGCACGACAGAUUGACAGAUUUACAGAACUGAAGAUUGAGCCUUGAGCUUUGGUGGGAGGCCCAAAUAACAGAUCGAUUGGUUUACGUUUACAUCUAAAAUAAAUUAAUCAAUAUUCGCCGUGAAGUAAAUGGUAGGGAUGGCAAUAAUCCCCAGUGGGUAGGGUAUAUGGGUAUUCGACUCUACGAGAGAGAUAUAUGGGGAUAAACGAGUAUUUGUUCUAGUAUAUUCUGUAUCUUUCUAGAUAUUCUUUAUGUGUCUUGGCCUUAUGCCAAUAGGAUAUGUAGUUAGACUAGAUCUAUGUAUUCAUAUUCUUACCAUAUUGAUAUUGUGUAAUUCCCUAUAUAAAGGGCUCCUAUGAAUGAAUAAGAUGAUGAUUCUCUUGCUAUCUUUUUGUCUUUACACUUUAUCCUUCAUCACGUUAUCAUGCACUUUGUUCUAACCCUAGAACUAAUAGCCCACCAUUUUUUUUUUCAAACCCUAAAAACCAAAACAGGAGGUUCUCGGCCCUGCCUCGGCCGCCGCCGUCGCUUCUCGGCCGUCCACUCCGCUGCUUUCUUUUCAUCCGAUUAAGCAUCCAAGUGUUUACGGUAUGUUUAUUUUACAACCCUAAAACUCUUCCAAGUUCAAUAACCUCGGAGGAGAUAAAGUGUUUUCUCCCUUUCUUCUACUCCAUUCUAUGCUUGGGUCGAUGUAUUUACAGUUACCAAAAAUCCCAGAAUUUUAUUCGCGGGUCAAGUGUCACACCCCGGUUCUUAAGUUAUUUUACGGUUAUUUACUUUGGUGUUAUUUUGGUCUUUUACCGUGUUGAGUAACCGUUUACUACUUAAGGACCCUAAAGUUGACUUUUUCUUCCGUUUGAAAUUUGGGAAAACUUCCUUCAUGAAAGUUGUAGAGGACGUUAAACGGAGUUCGUGGACACGCGGCACGCUUAAAACGGAGUUCGUAUGAAGAAGUUAUGGUCUAAAAACGAAAAUUUCUAUAUUGGUAAAAAGAGGUAAAUUCUUGUAGGCUUUAUUUUGUGGGAGUUUUAAGUUUGGACUGGGUCAAGAGGGGGUCAAAGCCCAGCCACUCUCUCUCUCUCUCNNNNNNNNNNNNNNNNNNNNNNNNNNNNNNNNNNNNNNNNNNNNNNNNNNNNNNNNNNNNNNNNNNNNNNNNNNNNNNNNNNNNNNNNNNNNNNNNNNNNNNNNNNNNNNNNNNNNNNNNNNNNNNNNNNNNNNNNNNNNNNNNNNNNNNNNNNNNNNNNNNNNNNNNNNNNNNNNNNNNNNNNNNNNNNNNNNNNNNNNNNNNNNNNNNNNNNNNNNNNNNNNNNNNNNNNNNNNNNNNNNNNNNNNNNNNNNNNNNNNNNNNNNNNNNNNNNNNNNNNNNNNNNNNNNNNNNNNNNNNNNNNNNNNNNNNNNNNNNNNNNNNNNNNNNNNNNNNNNNNNNNNNNNNNNNNNNNNNNNNNNNNNNNNNNNNNNNNNNNNNNNNNNNNNNNNNNNNNNNNNNNNNNNNNNNNNNNNNNNNNNNNNNUUUUUUUUUUAAAAUGCCCAGUCUGCAGAGUUCGCGUGAGGUCCAGCAGGAGACGUCGAGGCAUAGUGACCCAGCUAUCAGCUACAUUUCGCCAGUAGGUUACCUGUUUAAUCUACUAGGAGUUUGUUAGCUUCCGUUGUAUUUUAUUUGAUUUUUAGUAGCUCUGAAUACUAUUGGAAAUCUUAUGUUUGUAUUCUGGCUACUUAUGGAUUGUAGCUGAAGAUUUAUUUUAUUGGAAUAAAAAGUGGUUCUUAAAUUCUUAAGUUAGGGUUGUCCAUUUUCGAGGGAGGUUUGCCGAGUUUCGGUAAAUUUUCCUUGGAGGUGGUCCCCGCAGGAUUUACCUCGGGUUUCAGGGUGAAAUUCGGGGUGGGUCCUGACAUCAAGAGUGUGUUUGAUCACUCUUGUUUUCUUUUCUGAAUUGUGUUUGAUCAAUUCGUGGCUUUUCCAGAUUGUGUAUGAUCAAUCCGAAGGACAAACCAUUAAAAGCAUUGUUUGUGACCUCUAUCGAGUCUCAUAACAGCUUGGUUUUGUAUGCAAGAGCGAUGUAACAUUCUGCUUCUUUGAGUUUUGACGUACUCGAUGCCUAAGGCAAAUCUUCGUUUGGUAUCUGUGGAACCUUUCAUUGGAAAGGAUUAAACCACAUGUUUUGACCCCCAAACUAACAAGCCUAGAUGCCGAGAUUUCACAUCUCAUGCGCUCAAAGUCUUUGACGUGCCAUAUCGACAAAAGCCUUCAAUGACAAUCUGUGCAAAAAGUAAUGACCACAAAAUACUGUGGAAUGCACUCAUGGAGCGUUUCUUGAAACGUUCAUAUAACUCUACUUGUUGAGUUAUUAGUCAAGUGGAUUGCUCACCACCUUAAUUGACUACAUAUUGUCGAUAAUUUUUUGUGGCAUCAUGAUCCAUAAUCUUUAGCGGAUUCGAUCAUUAUCAAGUUCUCUAGGUCCUCCAAAUUGGUUUGGAAUUACCAACGAGACUUGAUUUUGAUCAUAUAAACGGGAAUUGUAUAUACGCUAAUGUGAUAAACUUAUUUGGGAUUAUCCCCUAAUGUGGGGACAACAAUAUGGGUCAUGACAACGGCAGAAAACGUCGUGCCGAUGUCUAGAAAAGAGGGGGAGGUGUCGCCGACUCUAAUAGCAACACUCUCGGUCUAGACACCAUUUUGUCAAAACUAAUCGCGUCAGCUCAUGACAAUGCAACCGUUGUGGAUCUUCGGAUCAUUGGUUCAAGAUUGUCCAGCUCCUUCAAAUUGUGAAUGCAUACAAAAAGGUACGGAAAAUCAAUAUGAGGACAAGAACGUCAUCCUUAUGAUCGCGAAUUUCAAAGAUUCGGAUCCUGCUCUAGCUACCCAUGACUUUGACGUCAUCGGCUAGACAUUGAUUUUCGUUCUAAGCUAUAUGUACUAAGGCGUUGUAUCGACGUCCUUCGUCUAUUUGAGACCUCGAUGUACACACAUUAGCAAUAAUGAAUGUCUUGAGAAUUUUUUCAAAGUUAUGAAAUUAUUCUCCUCUUUUGGUUCGUAUUGAUUUACAAACAAGAUGUACAUUUUUACAUCGUCCUUAGAAGCAUGGCAUAUUUACAAUCUACAUGGUUAGAUUGUGCCGUUUUGGUCUCUUCCAAGUGAAGAUAACGCACGGCCUUGCAUCCUCAAGAAGGAUCGCUAACGUGUUUCCAGUUAAGUCUUCUACCCUUUAACGGAUUUUCCAUCAUCAAUUAUUCAACUAGGCUCAUCCAAGCUCAGUGUGAUGUCUUAGAAUUGUCUGAAAUUAAGGAGAUAGUGGUUUCAAGUGUGUCUCGCUCUAUCAAACCUCCACGGACAUGCCUGGUCAUACUGACUUGGAGUUACCGAAAGCUUUUGAUUUUGGAUCCCUCUACGCUAUUAAACCAAUUACUAUCUUGCAAAAGACAUUGAAGACUUAUCAAAACCGGAAAAUUAUCAUCAUGAUCGAAUCCUCUAGGUCCUCUGAGUUAGUUUAUGUUCAUAUUAGGGAGCUUUUGCUAACUAGUCAUGGAGCUUACGACCUUAGAACGACCGAAAUGACUUGGUUUUGAUCAUACACACAUAACUUUUGGCUAAGGCAAAAGCCUACAUGCCACCUGCAAACUUCACAGCUUCGCACAUGCCAAUUCUGUGAAAAACAGCAAUCUGUCCCUUCUGGACAGUCAACUUUGUUUGAGCUUUGUGAAUAACUUCGAACGAACUAGACAUUAUAUCAUUGAAAAGCUCUACGAGUCUAGUUUUCAGAAAUUUUCACGGUUCAUCCAUAUCUAUUUUAACGAAGAAGUUAUGGCUGUUUUAGUACGCAAAGGUCAUUCUGCGCGGAAAUUUUUAUGCACUCGGGAUUGCAGCUUUUUGUAGCUUCUUUCAAUCCUUCUAAAUGGUUCAAGUGGAACUAUUUACUCGCCUAUCUACUCCUUGUAGAUAUGUCUUAUAGAGACAUUGAGUGCUUCGCAGACAGUGGAACUAUCCACAAUAUUCCAAGGAACCGGCAACUAUCUUUAGAUUUUAUGCCUUUGUAAAUUUUCUGUGACUACAAUGAUUGAAUCAUACGGUCAUUCAGGGACAUGGUUUAGCUUGAAUCUUGAUGCCUUAUGGCACCAUGAUCAAUGUCACAGAUACCCUCUAUGCAUUGAGAGGCAAUCGAACCAUGUUGAGCUUUAAAGACAUUCAUGCUAAUAGUUUUCAUUUGAAAACACAUUGUGAGAAUGAACAAGAGUUCUUUUCUGUAUAGCUUCUCAUGAAUACGGACUGAAAUGCAUCUUAGAGAAAUUUAUAAGUCGGUCUAGUGGAUUGUAUGUCACUAUGUUUCGAAUAUCGAAUCACAUGUUGUCGCCAAACAUAAUAUUUGGGACACCGACUCAUAUAGGCUUUGAUUUGACCAAAUCGGUCAUCCUGGAAGAGACAUAAUGAUCCAAAUUUUGAGAAACUCUCAUAGACAUUCAUUCUUCCGCUCAAAAUGAAGACAUUCGGGAUCUAGCAUCACCAUGAAGUCUAGUGGUGACCCGGGGGACAUUGACGUCACCUGAACACGGCUCCAACUUCCCGGAGGCCGUUCGGUCAAUUCCUCAAGCAAUUGAGGUGGGCUUUCCCUCGAUGUCUCAUUGGCCCCCUGCAAUGCUCAUUGCUCGUUUUGAAAGCCUAUUUUUUAGCUAAAUUAGGAGUGAGACCGCCUACGCUAAAUGACACAAAAGAGAAUAUUUCAUUCUUACAUCAAACUACGUAGAUAUAAACAACCAACUUGCGGUUUAUGGUGUUGGUUGAAGUGUUAACACCCCGGUCACAUGUUACACUAUUAUCUACUGCUUAUGUUGCUUAUACUUCUACGGGCUCACUACCCAUUCUUUAAAGAAGUUUAUUGGGAUGUAAGUUGAACUGUCUUGUACCCCAUAUCCACACGCAAUACGGUCUCACCGAGGCAACGACUAAGCAACUUUAGCUUGUCGCUCGAAUAUUAUUGAUGCGCACCAAUCUUUCUAUUACGUCUUGGGGCUAUGCAAUAUUUGCAUGCAGCUUUACUAUUCAUCUAUGACCCACCAUCAUUGAAUAUUUUUGUAUUACAGCUUGUGACUGUGUACGAGGAUUGACACGAAAUUACAAUCCUUGAGCUCAAGCAGGAUAGAAACGGAUCUUCAAUCCUUGAGCUCUGCUAUUAUUUCUAGGUGCCAAAUCGCACUGCCACUGCUUAUAAUGAUUUGUCAUUUGAGAUGAAUAAGUAUUUAUGUUGGAUAUGAACCUCCACCUAUAAUCUGCAUAUGUAGAAACCUUGUCAGGCGAUCUCAUUCACCCAUAAAUUGCGGAUUGUCACUUUGAUGAGACAAUAUUCUCGCCAUUAGGGGGAGAUAAGAACACAAGUGUUCAAGUGAAACGACGUGAAUUGUCGUGGUUUGUCCCCACUAAGUCUCAUCUUGAUCCAAAAUGCUUAAAGUGUUAAAGUAACUAGAUCACAUGCUGCAAAUAUGUCUGCAUUGAUGUUCUACAAAAGGACAUGGCGCGACCAAAAGAAGUUGGUCUUGGCGCCAUCACCAUAGAUGGUGAAAUGAUGACGCCAUAUAAUGGCAAAAUUGGUGUCACAAGGCCGUGUGGCUCCCCAAAAGGAGGGAGGCCCUUAGGUUUGAUAUAUUCUCGCACUAGGAAGAAAGCGAGCUUGGCACAACCUGAUCCAUUGAUCAGUAAUACUCAAAUCCGUCUCAUGAAGUCUGAAUUGUGAUUAUCGUUGGGGGACGCCUCAAUGUCAAAUCCAAUCCAUAUAGAGAUCUCUACAAGUAUUACACUAGUGUACAUGAGGACGUGGGAUAAUGAGUCUACUAUCGAACCACCCUUCGUUGAUGGAUACCAACUUAGUUGAUUGGCCUAAUGGAAAGACGUGAUCCAACAUAACAAAGAGAUAGGUCCUUGGGCAGGUGAUGCCGACACCGCAAGCUAACCCUAUCAACUAUGCCUUUGUUAGAUAGCGUAGUGAGAACAAGAGCUUAGACUCACCUUAUGACCCAAGGUUUCUCACUAACACGCACUGGGAUCGACUACGAUGAGAUAUGCUCUCGUAAUGGAUGUCAUUGAACUCCACUACUUUGUCAGUUUGGUAGUUUCCGAAUAAUUGAACAUGCAGCCUAUGAAUGUGGUCAUAAUAACAUCUCUAUAGGAUCAGAGAUAUACAUGAAGGUCUUAAACAGAUUUCAUUCAUCCGAAUCAAGUGACUCCAAACCACAGGAGCAUGUGUUUGCUAAAUGUAUUGAAACGCACAUGGACUCUACUUGAUUUGGAAGGGAUAUGAUGAAUUAUGCCUUUGCGUGUUCAUUCCGGAUUUACAUAGACUCUUGAUGGAUCUAGAGAUGCCAACAUGUAUCAACAUCCGAAGAAAAAGAUCUUGGGAAAACACGGUCUCGAUAAGGCACUCAAUGACUGUAUUGAUGAUGAUUUUUCAUCAAUCGGUUUAGGCGCUCUAACGAAAGUGAGGCUUACAUAUACUCCCAUGAUUAGUCAAGGUCUUUGCUCUAAAGAGAGAUCUGUUAUUUUGUCUAAAGCAAGAUGACAAAUAUGUGUUAAGAGAUGGAGUUCCCAUCUAAGUACAAUAAGACGCAUCAAUGUACUCAACACAAUACGAAAGACUUGACAUCUCAUUCGCUAUGAAAAGUUGUAAAGCUAAGUGUAGCUAUGCGCCCACGCAAUGCCAAUGUAAUGGCAGUAACUCCUUUUUCAAUACUUAAUGGUAUGAAAGGUUAAGGCUUAUUCUAUCCCUACAUAAGAAAGACACAUCAAUAGCGAAAUCAGAAUCUACCAAGUUUCGUAGGUCAACUUCCAUGGGACCUACAAAAAAUCACACUCACUGAAAAAUGGUGAAAUUGGUACCAUUGGAAAGGUCUAUGUGUCUACUUUCCAGUGACACCAACCAUUUGAUCAUAUCUAUCAUAUUAAGUGAGUUAUGGCCAUUUUUGUAAAGUAGGACGAAUCUGUCAGAGAAUUUGAUUUUGGCAAAACAAUCAACUUCGAUAGGACUUUAUGAAUAGCUCCUGACGAACCAGAACAUGUGUAAUAUACGGUUGGAAAGCUAAAUGAGUCUAGUUUCCAAAUCCGUUUACGGUUCGUUCAUAUGUAUUUCCUAGAGGAAGUUACGGCUGUUCUAGUAACUGAAGGUCAUGCUGUGCGGAAAUCUGAUUUCCUGCACCAACUUAUGUUUUGAGUUCACAAGCGGCUUUCUCCUCAAGAUCUAAGUGUAAAAGAUCAUUUGAGGACAAUACGGCAUGAUUUAGUUAAUCAUUGCCUAAUGCCACAUUUGAAGAUAUGUUAAAGAGCAUUGACAUGCUAAGUUGUUAAAACUUCCGUGAUAAAUAAAAAUCAGGAAGAGCCCUAUGAUUGAUGUAAAGAUCAAGGGGAGGUGCGAACUUCAGGGGGAGUCUAGCACAUACAUACAUGUCGCUAUCAAAUGUGAAGGGUGCGUUGUACUCUUUUUCUCCUACGAUCAAGGUUCAGUUUUUCUCCCACAGGGUUUUUGUGACUUGACGAGGUUUUUGACGAGGUAACAGAUCAGCACCAUCGGCAUAUCAGCGCACGGCACAAGGGGGAGUGUUCUAGUAUAUUCUGUAUUUUUCUAGAUAUUAUUUGUGUGUGCCUUGGCCUUAUGCCAAUAGGAUAUGUAGUUAGACUAGAUCUAUGUAUUCAUAUCCUUACCAUAUAUGUGUAAUUCCUUAUAUAAAGGGCUCCUAUCAAUGAAUAAGAUGAUGAUUCUCUUGCUAUCUUUUUGUCUCUACACUUUAUCCUUCAUCAGUAUUUGAUUUUAAUUUUAUAUUUUUAUAUAUUUGGUAUAAAAAAAUUAAAUUAAUUUAUUAAAUAAUUGUUAACGAGAAUUGGGGCGAGUAUGAGAACGUAAUCCCCAAAGAGGACGGAGACAAGGAAUCCUCAUUAUCUAAUUACAGGGAUUGAGGCGGGUAAGAGGCGGGAUGAAUAAUGAAAUAGGGUAUGUGUAUGGCUUUUUGAUCCACUUACCUUACCAUACCAGCAUACCCAUUGCCAUCCCUAGUAAAUGGUAGGCCUAGUUAGUGACUUGCUUCUCAAGGCAAACGACCUAUUAAAACUCUUGUCUGCAAACCCUAACUUGUUCACAAUUUCAUAUGAUCAAUAUUAUGGAAAACCCAUAAUGGAUAGGUCUGGUAAAUUCUUUAUCUCUUUUUUGGGUAAUUUCAUGUGUGAUUUAUAUAUAUACACCAACACUAGUCUUUCACCCGUGUAAAUUUACACGACUCAAAUUUAAUUCGGUGAAGCUUUUGAGGACCUAGCUUUAUAGUAGUAGCGAUAAGAUGCGAAAUCCUAGUGGCGGAGCAAACUGAGAAUGGGGGACUCAGAAGAAAGCACGAAAUUGACAGGCUGCUUAGUGAUGAGUUUCAAAAAUCGACAGAUAAAAUUUUGAAAUGUCUCCCUCAUGGUGAUGAACGGAUCACAUAUUUAUUUGUUGCUACAAUGACCAAAAAGUUAAGUUCAACUAUCUAUAUAUGUGGUUUUAUUACUUGGUCAAAAGGAUAGGGUUUUUAGCUAUGUAUGGAUAAUGACUUCUCACUUCUCAGUAACCAGCAACCCUUUGGGUGAAUAAUGAGUCGUGUAGCUGUCCCAAUUAGUUGAUUAAGCUCUAGUUCAGGUGUCUUAUCUAUCCUCACUCCCCUCUUAGUUUUGGACCCAAUCAAUAUGACUUAAAAAGUUUGAUAGCAUCAGAGAAAUAUUGCUGAUCGAUAGGAUGAUUUUUCCAGGUAAGAAGCUAGAUAGAUGACUUGUUCUCAUACUAUUGUCUUACGUUUUUAAGAAUUCUGUCCAAUGUUGGAGUGAAUCUUAAAUCACAAGUUUAUAUAUCAGCUUAGUAGUAUUGACAACAAUUAAUAAUAAGCAAGGCUGAAUACCUACUGUUUAGGAGAGGUUUAGAUAGAUGACAGCACUUUCUUGUGGUGGUUUUGGCCUUAAUUGAGUUGGUAGCUUUUAAUCAACUCAUUUCUUGAGCUGAGAAUAAAAGUUUUAACUCUCUCUCAUAAACACCAUGAAAAUGGUUGUGAUAUAGAUUGUAUUUGAGCCUUUCUUUUCUUUUUCUUUGUUUUGAUUGAAGGAGAAAUUUAGGUUGAUCAUAUUUAGGUUUGUAUAUUAUUAUUGUUUUAUUUCCUUUUAUAGUAUAAAAAUUGCAUUAUUUCCAUAUCAUCACAAUUUUAGUAGGGACGAUCAAUGACAUGGUAAAUUCCACAUCAUUUGGUAUUAGUAAUUGGUAUAACUUUUUGGUGUCUAAAACAUUUUCCAUUUAUCAAACAUUACCACAAGAAAUGAAAGUAAUGUCAUUUGUAGAAACUUAAUAAAGAGGGUCGUUUUUAAAUUAACGAAUUUAAAUUUAACUAAGCAACCAAAGAUUAUGUAUGAUUGACCCUUCUGGCCCCCUCUCCCUACGCGGAGUAAAUUCCAACCAAAGAACAAAUCUAGCUCGCAGCUUCAGUUUUCCUUAUUCUACAUCAGUAAGUACAUGGCUAGCAUUGCCCUAUCGUCUUUAGGCACUUGUGUAACGAGUUAUUAUUUCACUAGAGGUUGGGAGGGGGAAGAACCCAUUUCGUUCCUUGGAUGAAGGUCAAGCUUAUGAAGGGUCUUGCUUCUACGUCGCUCAGCAUCUUUGCAUACUUGACUCGUUCGUUGGAGCUUGAACCCGGUCCAGAACACUUGUACUCUCCAUAAUACACAGUGCUGCGCGCAUAAACAAUAUAAACAUUAUGAAGAUCGAUCAUUUCAUUUUACAUACUUCUGUUGGUCAUAUUAUGAAAACCAUGUACAGAUACAGAAAUGAACGUACCUGGCACGCGUAUUGUCGUUGUAGUCGGACCACCCUUUUCUGUCGACAAGGUUCCCCAUGUAUGUGUAGGCAAACACAACUCUUGCUCUUCCCCUCCAAGCACGACCUAGCAAUGUGUCACCUGUCCCUUUUAUGGUGCAAUACACGAACGAAAAUCCAGUAUCGUCCUGCGCUUCUGAUCUACCGUGUGCUGUGAUCACCCCAACUCCAUUCGCGACUGAGUUUAGGGUACUUUUCUACAAUACCAGUUAAAUAUUAUCAAGUUAACAUUUGAACUUCAUCAUGUUCAGUAUGAUAUACUCACUAUAGCUAUGUGUGUACGUACCAAGUAGAGGGAUUUUCCAUUGCCAAAGAUGAAAUCAACAGUGCCUUGGAUGAAGCAAUCCUUGAAGAAAUGUCUUCCCUUAUCGUCACAUAAGGUGUCCUGAAAUCCCAUGAACUUGCAGUUGUAGAAUGCAGCCUUGUCCCCUGAUAUUCUCAUUGCCACCGCCUGUGCAUCCUUCCUUAUACCGUCUGGCAUAGGAGCUGAGUUCUACACAACCAAGCAUCGCAACAAAAGAAGGUCAAUAAUGUUUCUCAACUUUUGUUGAUGGAGACGAUUCUGAUAUAUAGUGCAAUAGUAACCAAAGAAAACCAAGGUAGAUGGAGACGAUUAAGACAUGAUAGAGACUGACGGGAUUGAUUUGAUCUGAUGGGAGAGAGAACUGAGGCAAUAGAGAUACAUACGAUACGACGAAGUAAAGACUCAAUGGUGUAAAAUUAUCUACAUAAAGUAGGUGCAUUGGUGAAUGCAUUAACUUGUGCUUAAUAGUAAAGAGAAAUGAAUCAAAUAAUUAACACAAACAACUUCCCAAAGAUAUUCCAAUCCCAUCAUAUAGGUUAGGGUCCAUCAUUUCUAGGACUCCCAUAUCCCUGACCCUCUAAACCACGCACAAUGGCAUGCAUGCCAUUUUGCUGUCAUAUAUUUCUCUCUAGGGUUUGAUCUUGAAGAUAGCUAGCAAAAUAUUAGACGAGCAAAGAGAAUGUGAAACGAGAUAACGCACAUGCAGAAUAUAUGCAAAGAAUGGAACACAAAACGAAAUCAAAUUUAAGGCAAAGGACAAAACCGCAAUCAUAUAAUGCACAUAACGCUUCACUACUGAACACGAAACGACAUCAAAUUUAAUGACAAAUUAUGGACAAAACGGCAAUCAUAUAAUGCACAUAACACCUCACUACUACAACUCACCACAAACGCAAUAUUCACGGCAACGAAAUAGUCGGACUCCACCGCCACUGUGGCACUGUUCCACGUCCCAUACACCGCCGCAGUGCCGUCGUACGUGAUCGACGGCAUAUCAUUCUUAUCCCCAUAAAACGUCACGAAGGGUUUCGUCAUCUCCACCAGAAUCUUCUCUCUAUACUCUCCCCCACCAAUCCACACCACCACGCGCCGCUUGUUCCCCGUAGGAAUGCUCUUCACGGCGUCCGUCACCGUCUUAAAGUCUCCAGUGCCGUCCUUCUUCACCCUUAUGACUCUCCCUGCGUCCUCAGCCGCCGCAAGCUCCGUGUCAAAGUGCGUGCCGGGGACGUCACUCCUCGUAUUGAGCACGGCCUUCCGCUUGUCGUACUCCCUCAUGUUUCGGACGAUCCAGUCAUCAAGAUCGGCCUCGUUCUCCGGGAUGAGGUUAGGUUUGCCGGACACGAGCAAAGCCAAAGUCAGAAAUGCCGACACGACCAAAACAGCCGAGGUCGGUUUCGAAGCCAUUGGUGUGUUAAUUCUCGACGGUGUAGAAGAAGUUUGAAUAACAGUGUCUGAUAUAUAUGCCAAGAGGAAACGAGAAAAACAACCAAAUCGUUGAGGGGGUUGUUAAGGUUGUGGAGGCUUUCUGGAGAAUACAUAACUGUUGGGAAAUCGAAGAGGUUUAAUAUAUGAGGGGGGAGAGAGACAAAGAGACGACCAUGGUGUGGACUGAAAGCGGAGGAGAGGGGGAGGUUAGUGGAGCAGUUUUGACGCCCUAAAAUCUGGUAAACUAGUAACGAGUAAACUACCAUGAAGCGAAACAGCGUUUGUUUCGUUGGACUUGAUUUGGAAAUAACUGUCGGCGUGGGCCUAUUUUAUCUGUUUCGGUACUGAAUUUGACAAAGGAGCUACAAUUAUGGCCCAAUUGUAAUGAGAAAUCCAUUUAGUUAUGGAAUCAUUCCCAAUUUUUUUUUUUUCUCCAAAGUUUCUAUUAAUGUGUUGAUACUGAUCUCCGUCAAAUUUUCAAUAUCGCUUUUUUCUAGCCCAAGUAAUAAAGGUUUGAAAAUGAUUUAGGACUAGGAUAGAUUAUGAGUUUGAGAAUCAUAAUUUGGAUGAAAUGGCCAAUCAAGCGGACCAAGAAAAAAGCAUUAAUCAUCAAUCAUCUCAAUCAUCUCCAUCCGUUGCGAGAGUUGGGUUAAUCUAGCUGCUAAAUUAACUUUCAUGAGUAGUUUCCUCGUGCGAGUUGAUCAUGUACAUUGAAUUAGAACCUAAUUGGAUUCCAAUUAAUUUUUACUUACCCUUAUCCCAAGACUCAUAUACUUCUAUCCAAUAAUAUGUUGAAAUCAGUAAUCAUGAUUUAGGAAACCCUAAUUUACCUCAUUGCCAGCUCUGAAUGUUUUUGUUAUUAUUAUUAUUAUUAUUUUGUUACCCUAUUGAAUUAAUCAAGAAAAAGAGAAAAACCAGAAAAAGGAAACAAUGACACAAAACUAGGAAAACCGAACUUAAGGAAGACUCAUAAAGUCGCUAUUACCAUAUAACAAAAUGAAUUGGGAGAAUGUUUAUGUUAUUGUACAAAUAGUCAGUUAUCUAUAGACUGAGUGUAAGAUCACCGUUUAGACUUUAGAAAGAAAGGGUUAUCAUGAUUAACCCUCUCGGUCGUUCUAGUAAUGGGCCAGGCGGAUGGGCCUCUGGCCAUGGUUUCGGAUAAAACUAACAUUACGUAAUUGGGCCGAGAAUCGUUCGUCACGAUCUCCACCCACUUCCAAAGAAUGAUCCAAGACUAUUCCAUUUCGUAUGGACCCGCACGUGUAUAUAUGCCUAUGAUUGAUUCUGCAGGCAACAUUCUCCAACUCCGAUCCUCAUCAUUCGCCCGCCGACCAGACCACAAAUCCAUUAUGGUGAUGUUUGAUCGACGACGGAGCCAAUAGAGAGGGGAGACGUACGGCUAGGGUUUGUCCAGCUCCAGCAGCACGUACUGCAUGCUACUACUGUAUGUAUGUCUGUCUAAUUUGAUCUGUCUUAUCCAGUCUAUUCUAUUGCAGGGCAUGGAAUGACUUGCUCCAUAUCUCUGCAUGCUUAUCCUCAACUCCUCAAGUGCAGAUAUCAUAUCAAAUCAUCUACUGGUUUUCACGUCAUAUUAAAUUUUAGGGUAACUUCUUUGCUUCUUCAUCGGCCCUAGAGAAACGGCUGCCAAAUAUGGGGCGAAGCUACAUACCCUACAAGCUAGUCUACACUGCCUAGGCUCGAGCUAGAAGAUACGUCUAUAUGGUGGUGCCUCAUUCAUACCCAAUAAUGAACAAUCCCAUAUAGUAGCUAUUCCGACAUCUGAUGUAAGAGAGGCUAUGCCGGCCAUGGUGUCUUUUCAUGGAGUCGGUUUUUGCUGGCUAGCUAUAUAUGUAAACACCAAACAGUUAAGUAGUGAAGCAGACCUCAUCUCCAUCAUAAGAUAUCAUUAAGAGUGACUAAAUAUAUAUUGCUAAGUGAUCGAGUGAGAGCAUAUGCAACAAAACCUAAAGCAAAAUGUUAGUUAUAUACGACAGAAAUGACAUUUUCCAACACUUUCCAUAUAUAAAUGAUAUUUUCCGAAACUUACAUGUAUACAAUAGCGGUGCAAACUAUUACCAUUUAUGUUUAAUUUGAUUAUCAAAAUGUUGCAUGUUAAUACUGUUUUCGUAUGGACGUGAUCUUUCUCUAAUUUUUCGUAGAUUAAUUCCAUCGUAACAAUUGAUGCAAAGUAAACUUUAGAUGCAAGUAUGCAACGUUAAGACAAGAAAUUUUUUUGAUGACAGUUAAGACAAGAAAUUAGUCGAACAUUAAUAUAUCAUCCUCGGGCAACUUAAUUGCAUGCACCUAGUUAGGCACCUAGGUUCUUCCCUGGUUGUGUAUUUGCUACCAUGAAUUGGCCGGUGACUAUCAAUACAGUAACCAUAUAUUUAAGGAUGUAGAAAUCCAUACAUACAAAAUUGAAAUCUACACACCAUUUUUUUUUUUUUAACACAUUCACAAAAAAUAAAGUUUAAAUCAUUAAAAGACAAAAUCUAAGUUACCAAAAAAGGAAAAAGAUAUGUACGUGAAUUUCAUUUUAAGGUGUGUGGAUUUCACAACCCUAUAUUUAUCAUCGAUCACACUAAGAGUUCGACUCCCUCUGUCGGUAGCCAAAAUACAAAAGAAAUUCAAAUGAAUAACACAUGCAUGGUCUAGUUUUUAUAUGAUGUGAAUAGGUUUAUAAGGUAAGGGGAAGCCACAUGCAAGUAUUUUUGGACUCGCCGAAUCCAUGCCAAUCCAUUUCUAGUAAUAUACAGUAGAUUACACAAUCCCAUUCAUAUUUUCCACCUCAAAAAAAAGAAAAAAAAGAAAAGGAAAGGUCCGGAGGUCCUCCUCUCUUCGAUGCUGCUAUCUCAACUCGUAUGGAGCUCCAUCUGCUUCUAGCAUAUAGAGCACUCCCCUCCUAUGGGGGUCGAUAAGUUCAGAAACGAACACUGUUUUGGAUGGUGGCUACUAACGUGCAAUUCAAUUUGAGAUUGAUUUCUGCAGCAUCACAUGCCAUGUCUCUAAUUUGGUCUUGUGCUUUUGUUUGUUUAGUAAGUAGCUACCAAAAAACUAUUAUGUUUUUCUCGUGUGGAAGAAACCCACCAUCGUCAACUCCAAAUCAGAAACUUUCUGCACGCAUCUACUACAGAUACUGUCGUUGCAUGCAUGUUUGCUCUAUCUAAGAGGACAAAAAUCGAACGCAAUCCAAUAUAAAUUAAUUGACCGAUUAAAAUGUUGAAACCUGAGAUUGAAUGUGUUUUUAAAACAAACCAUAAUAAUACGAACCCAGAUACAUCUUUAGUAGGAACUAAAUUAAAGUACUAAUCAACUGAUGAAUAAUAGUAGCAAGAUACAAAAUUACUUUUAUGAAGGGGUCCGGAUCAAGGGACAUCAUAUUUUACACAAAAUUUGACACACCUUGUGAACCUUUAGAUUCUAAAAUGUUCAAUGGCUCAGAUUUAUUGUUUAAAUGAUGUCAACACUACAUUAAGUGAUGUGGAAAUUACAUGGCAUUACAUAUUCUCAAUAUAAGAUAAAAUUCUAUUAGAAAAAAAAACCACAAAUUAAAAUUUGGAGAAUCAAAAUCAGAAAAAAAAAAAUCUAAACUCAAAAAACAGUAUAAGAAAGAACGACGACUAUUCUUAUCAAUAUUGUAUUAUAAACGAUCAAAAGAGAAAAAAAAAUAAUAGAUGAUCCUUGUGGCAUCAAUUAAGACAAGCCAUUCACUGUACCAAAAAAUGAGAUAUGUGGAAUUAGUUUUAAAGGCUUGUUAGAGAGACUUAUGGAAGAACUUUGAUCAAAUUAAAGGCUCGAUGAUGGAGGGAGUUGAAUUCUUCUUUUCUUCUGGGUUUUAAAACCUAAAUUCAUAUGAAAGGUUAAACCUUGAACCAUAAAGAACGAUUAUUUUGUUGUUAUCUAAUUACAUUGAGUUAUAUUGAAGAUCGACAUAAUCCAAUUAGAUUGGUACAAUAUAUUCAUAGUAAUCUCCUUCAACAUAUUGAUAAAAAGAACUGCAGUCGUUCUUAUAAUGUUCUUCUUCUUCCUUUUCUUUUUUUAUUUCUCUUUUUAGUUUUUGUUGAUUUUGAUUCUCCAAAUUUUAAUUUGUGGUGUUUUUUUUUCUAAUAGAAUUUUAUCUUAUAUUGAGAAUAUGUAAUGCCAUGUAAUUUCCACAUCACUUAAUGUAAUGUUGACAUCAUUUAAACAAUAAAUCUAAGCCAUUGAACAUUUUACAAUCUAAGGGUUCACAAGGUGUGUCAAAUUUUGUGUAAAAUAUGAUGGCCUUUGAACCGGACCCUUUAUGAAGAUGGUACAUUAACUAAUUAAUCUCGAUAUAUAUUCUAACUGAUGAUGUUCAUGUAUCAUGUAUGGACACAAAUUCCAUUUCUUUUAGCAUGCAUUUUUAUCACUAAAUAUGCAUGAUAUUGAACUAUAAAUCUACAUGUGAAGAAGAAAACUUUAUGUCUAAAAAAUUAAUUGUAUGCAUCAGGUAUGAGAUGCUGGAGAAAACCAACUAAUCGUUGAUUAAAUAUAUCCGCGAUUGAAAACACAUGCAGAGGUUUUAACUAUAGAUUUAUUUAUACUGGUCAUGAUAUAAGAGUAACAUCCUUAUAUGAUACAACAUACGUCAAUUCUAAGAUCUCUAAACUAGACUUACGUUUAUAAAAGGUGUUAUGUAAAAGUUACUAGACAUGAGAAUUGUGUAAAGUACACUUUGGAUGAUGAAUCUCAUAAAUUAGUACAAUAUAAACAUGAUGAGCACCCCAAAUUUUAACCCUCGAGGCUUAUGAGUAUUUCUCUGCAGGGUUAUAAGUUGAUCUACUAUGGCUUGAAAAGAUACAUGUAGAAAUUCUAGAGUUUUACAAAGAGAAGUGAAAUCCACACACCCAAAAUUGUAAUCCACACACCAAUUUUCUUUUUUAGUAACCUAAAUUUUGUCCUUGAUGAUUUAAAUUUUGUCUCCAUAUGAGAAUGAAUUACUAAAAAUGGAAAGUUGGUGUGUGGAUUACAAUUUGGGGUGUGUGAAUUUCACAUUCCUUUACAAAUGCAUGAUACAAACUGUACGUAUAUAUGAUUAUUUUAUCUGAAAUCAUGUAAUUAAGUUUAAUUGCAUCAUAUUCGUGUACCAAUACCAUAACCAGUGUGUUCCUUUAUAAUAGAAUGAUAAUGUUUGAGCUAGCACGUUACAAAUUCCACCUGCUCAUAUAUCCAACUCCCACAUGCAACGUUAGCAUCACAAAUCACAAUGAUUAGCGAGCAUUAGUAACAAUAUAUUUGAUUCAGCUCAAUUAAGAAUCAAACCUUAGCAACUAAAAUAAAUUUACGUACAGCCAUUUUAUUAAUCAUCGCUCACGAUAACGAACUAGCCUUAUUCAUAUUUGGAAACACACACAGAUCGAUGAACAUGCCUCUCUCUAUCACAAUGAAUUCCAAUGAAGAUUAUGUCGUGGCUGUGCAUCAUACUGCCAACCACUGCAGCAAAUUGACUCGGCUCUGUACACAUAUUUUGACGUUUCCUUCGUGUUCUGUGGCCUCCAAUGGAAUCAAUAACACCACGAAAAGCUUUUUAUGGCGAAACCCUACCCGCACGUACCCCCACUACAACCCGAUAUAUAUAUUUGCCAUCCUCUCAGUCUCUUAUUCAACUCACUUCAUCAUUAAUUUGGCUUUCACAUUGAUCUGUUCCUUUUCUUUUUCUGGGUUAGAGCCAAACACAUACGUACAAGCUAGACAGAUCAAAGAUGGGAUUGUAAUCAUUGUAUGAUUAUCUACGCUUCCGUUCGCCGAGGGCUGAAGACUUCCUCAGAUCUAACCAUUCACGUGUAUCUACACACAGUCGACUGAGUCGAGAAGUGAAAACUCUUCGAAUAAACAUAUACCGGACUUUUACUUUGAAAUUUCUUAAUUGAUACAUGAAGGAGGCUCGUGCAUGAAUUCGGAAAAGGGUUUUCGGAGACAAAAAUUCCAAGCAUCACAUGGCGUCGUGGAGGGAGGGGGGGUCCGUUCAGGAGGCCAAAUCCGAUUUUGACGAGCCUCCACCCACGUGGGCUGGUUUUUUUAGCUCCGGCUACCUGACGUGGACAGAAUGACUAAAAUACCCUCAUGCUCUCUGUGAUCGAUGCUGCAUGUCCAUCCACCAAAAGACAACAAAAUCAGUGGCAGGGAUGAUUGGGGAUUAUGGGGGCAUCCUGUUACAUGAAAAAAGCCGCGAAAAGCGGCCGUCUUCUUCUGCGACAGUAGCUUUGUCUUCUUCGUUCUUGACGUUUCGGUGGCUCCGGUGGCAUCUAUGUCUUUCAGUCUCCCCCGACUAGGGACGGAGUCAGGAUUCUAAAACCACCUGAGCUAAAUUUAAUUUGAUAAAAUGUAUGAAAAUUAUAAAUUUAUAAUGCUUGUAUUUGCAUUAAGAAAAUAUUUUUGGCUUCUUAACACCUGAUAUUAAGAAGAAGAUCAAUCUAUAAGAGUAUAAGUGAUAUCGAAUUUCAGAAAAUAAUCAGAUUCACAUCCUCAAAAUGUCAAUAUCGACACAACAUGUUUUGAGAAUCAAAUAAAAUUGAAGGAAAAACUAUUUGUUGAAAAACUAAAAAAAUAACAUAAAACAAAAAAUGUUAUAUAUAGUUGAAGAAAAAAAUGGAGACUAGAACUUAAUAUGGACCAUUCCCAAAACAAAAACAAAAAAGGAAGAAAAAAAGAAGAAGAAGAAAACUUAAUAUAAACCAAUGCCUCUUUUUAGAAAAAAUAAAAGGUGGAGCCGUGGAGGUGGCAUAUUCCAAUCCUCAUUUAGUAUAAUAUAGUAGGUUUUGGCUUCUUCUAAAUUUUUUUUACAUGCAUGGGCUAUUGGUUUAUAUACCUGUUUAUUCAUAUAAUAUGAUCUAGUCUAUUUGAAAAUUGGAGAAAAACUGUCUGGGCUACAGCCUAGAGACAGUUCCACUAUAUCCUCCGUCCCUGCCCCCGACCCCGUCUUAUUGCUCGGAGUCAGAUCACUCUGAGUACAUAACUAUAUAUGCUACCGGAACCCUAGUUACUAUAAGAGGGAAAGCGUCAAAAAUGUGGUUUGCUAUAUUUGAGUGAAGUGUACACUAGGUGGUGGUCGAGGUAUAUGUAAUAACAACAAAAUUACUUACACAGUAAAAUUACGUACGUCUUUAUUUGUAAAUGAAUAAAAACAAUGUAUGGUUUGUUAACUAUAGGUUAGGUUUAUAUCAAUAAUGUCGCAAAGGUUGUUACGUCAUUUACAUCUACAAAACCUAUAUGUAGUUGUUGCAUG
rnacentral:lncRNA from 1 species